GCAUACACACACGCGCGCACAAACAGCCGCUGCUGUUGUUGUUGCGUCGGCUCUGGGUCUGCCUCCUCGCAUUUCCCCUCUGUAAGUCCCCCUCUCGCCCGCCAUUCGCCGUGUUUCUUACGUUUCUUUUUUUUUUCCUCGGUACCUUCACUUCUUGUGCUGCCUCGCCUCUCCGUUUUCUUUCCCUUGACGAAGUUCGGGUAGAGGCAGGCUGAUCAGGCACAAGCGCUGCUGUCAAGGAAAGAACGAGCAGAUCAGCCCGGCUUUCGCUGAAGUAGGCAACGCCGACGAUGACAAUGCCGAAGCGGCAGCGCAGCGAUGAGAAGGCGGCGCACCAUGUCCAACUUUCUGUGGAGUCAGGGAGUCGGUUCGACGCGUAUAUACGCGGCUGGAUGCAGGGCACCGUUGAGCAGCCGCUUCUUCGGCCGUCUUUGCUACCCCCACUAACUCCAUUGCCGACUCUUGCAGCACCUAGUAAGUCAGGUGCGGCGCAAACACCAGCAACAGCAUCUGCUGCCACCACUGUUGGCGACUUAUCGCGCCUCUGCGAGUGGACGCCACCGUCCGCCGUUAUGCCGGCGUCGCGUACUGCUGUUGUGUACGACACGUCUAUGCUAGAUCACGUUUCUCCGGAUGCUGGAGACUACGAGCGUCCCGCACGGCUGCAAAGCACACUUGACCAUCUCACCGCGAUCGGCCUCCUGCCAUGCUGUCAGCGCAUCCCCGCGCGCACUGCGAAGAAACACGAGCUGCGUCGCGUGCACUGUAGGGAAUUGAUCGACACCGUUGAUCAGCUUGACUUCUUCAUGGGCAUACAGGAAGGUCGAGGAAGUGUCAUUGGGCAAGAUCUUUUCGCCAGCGAGCACACCUCCCGCGCAGCGCGCAUGGCUGCCGGGUGCGUCAUCGAGGCCGUCAAAGCUGUGCUCAGCGGUGCAGCUACCAAUGCCUUUGCCAUAGUUCGCCCGCCUGGCCACCACGCUGGCCCUGCUAACGCCGCUGGCUACUGUCUCUAUAACAACGUCGCCGUCGCUGCGCGCGCGGCUCAGGCGGAGCUGGCUGCAGCACAGCGGAGGCUGCAGCACAGGCGGAGCACAACCCCGCUGGUGACGCGCAGCAGCCGCGCAUCCUUAUCUUGGACUGGGAUGUCCAUCACUGUGACGGCACAGAGAACAUUUUCUACGACGAUCCAUCUGUGCUGGUCAUCUCGCUUCAUCAGUAUGGCAACGGCCACGGUCACGUGCUACGGAAAGUUUCCUCGGCUGCGGCGAAGAACCCGGCGGAAAUCUCCACCCCCAGCAAGGAGGAAAUCACCGCUGAUGACCUGGCAGCGCUGCUUUCCGGCGGCGCCAUCGAACCACCGCCAGUCUCUGCGCCAGAAGCGUCCCGCCCCGAGGCAGCUUCAGACCCACCACAAGGCUCGACAGAGGGCCGCCGAGUGCGCGCCGCGGUCGACUACAACAGCCUCGCGGCCCAGAUAGAGGAGGAGGGCGACGCCGAAAUCGCUGCCCUCUUCGGAGUUGAUCUGAACGCGGCGUCGACCAGCAGCAGUAACUCCUCCUCGGCCUCAACCUCGUCAUCCGUCAGCGCCGACAGCACAAGCGUUGCAAGGAACGGCACACGCCCUGUACACUACGCAGGCGACACCGUCGGCCUCUCCUUCGACGAAACACCUCGCCAGCGCGCCACCGGCGCCGAGGAGGAGGAACUCUUUUACCCUGGUACGGGGCACCUCAACCGCGUCGGUGGUGACGCAACGCCUGCGGCGCAGGGGCGCAACAUCAACAUCCCGUGGCCCACGCACGGCAUGGGCGAUCUCGAGUACUUGCAGCUUCUCCACGAGGUUGUCCUUCCUGCAGCGCGCGAGUUUCGACCGGAGCUGGUGCUGAUCAGCUGCGGCUUUGACAGUGCCAGCGGUGACCUGCUCGGCUCCAUGUGCCUUACCCCGUCCGGGUACUACAUUAUGACACGACUGAUGGCGCAGAAUUUCCCAAAGCUCGUAGUUGCCCUGGAGGGCGGCUACAACGUCAGGAACGUGGCGCUAUGCUCGGAGGCGGUGAUGCGUGCGUUGCUGGAGAGCAGCGGCUGCCCGGGUGAUCGACUGCCAAAAAGUCGCAUGCUUUGGUGUCAAGCAUCGAGUCUCGUUGCGGAUAUUAAAAGGAUGCAUGCACCGUACUGGAGCUGCUUUUCCCCGAACAUGUGAGGGGGAGGGGGUAGGAAGCGCCAGACACUGAAUCCACCAUGUUCAUAUCCCAUUCCGCACCAUGCGAAUGAGGUCGACGGAGCAGCGGCGCCACCGCCGCAAAAUACAUCACACUAGAUAGAAAAAAGAAAGCCAUGAGGCAGGUGUGCACGACGCCAUGCGUUGCUUUCUUUCUCUCGAGGUGAUAACAUCCUUCACGAGUGCGAAUCCCCCUUCACGCUGAGCAGGAUGUCUAGUGACGCCUCUUUCGUCCAGCAUGCAUGAUGGUGCAUGGCUCCACCGCCUCCCCAUCUUCCCCCAAGCACACAAGCAAACGUCUCCUGUAUGACUACUGGGGGCCUCCGUCGUUGUCUACUGUGGAAGAGGUGCACAUUUGCCAG
rnacentral:misc_RNA from 1 species